UUGACCUCAAAUCAGGUAGGACUACCCGCUGAACUUAAGCAUAUCAAUAAGCGGAGGAAAAGAAACCAACAGGGAUUGCCUCAGUAGCGGCGAGUGAAGCGGCAAAAGCUCAAAUUUGAAAUCUGGCGUCUUUGGCGUCCGAGUUGUAAUUUGAAGAAGGUAUCUUUGGGCCCGGCUCUUGUCUAUGUUCCUUGGAACAGGACGUCACAGAGGGUGAGAAUCCCGUGCGAUGAGAUGACCCGGGUCUGUGUAAAGUUCCUUC
rnacentral:rRNA from 1 species